UGAUUUACCUCAUUUAAAAUAACUGUUAGAUUUUAAAAUGUAAAUUAUUCCUGUGAUCCUUCAGAAAUCAUUCUAACAUGCUGAUUUGAUGCACAAGAAAUAUUUCUUUAUUAAUAUCAGUUAGGGGUGUAAUGGUACACAAACACGACGGUGUAAGGCAGCGUUUGUGCAUGAAGGCACCUCACAAAACUGAUUUCGGACAGACUUCUGAGGCAGAGUAACAGUUUAAUGAUCUACAGCAAAAUAGCACAAGCUUUGCUCAACUCAACUGUCACAGAAUGAAACGCACAGGAUUGUGGGAUAUCAAAGGCAGUGAAGGACAUAUCUAUGCUGCCUUCAAAAAUCGUUCAGAUGAAGGUAUCUGAGGAAACAGGAAGUGAAGCAGACAUUGGAUUCAGACGUGCUUUGAUGCCUUCCUACCUUGAAAUGUGUCCUCCAAAGGCUGCAUUUUCAGUUUUCGGAUGCAGCCUACAUGUAAACAUACCAAUCGAUCGUCUCUCUCUUCUUCUUCUUCUUCUUCUUCUUUUGCUGCACUUUUACUGGUAGCAGGCAGCGUUGCAUUACUGUGCGUGCCCCCUUCUGGAUUGGAGUGUGGAUCACCUGUGACCAACUGUAUUGAUCAUGUGACUGCAUGCACCAAACCGUGACACCCGCACCGUUCGGUUCGGGAUGAAUACAUGUACCAUUACACCCCUAUUAUCACUGAUAAACAUUUUGCUGUUUGUAAUUUUUGUGGAAACCGUGUUUUUUUUGUUUUUUUUUUGUUUUCAAGAUUAUUUAAUGAAUAGAAUGUUCAAAAGAACAGCAUUUAUUUGUAAUAGAAAUCUUUUGUAACAUUAUAAAUGUCUUUACUGUCAUUUUUGAUCAGUUUAAUGCAUCCUUGUUGAUUAAAAGUAAUGAUUUCUUAAAAAUUGAAACAUCUUAAUGACCCCAACAGAACAGUAGUGUUUCUUGAUUAGUUUGUCCAAGGACCACUGCAUAUUUUGCCUGUCCUUUUAUGUCCAGUAGGUGGCACCGAUGAUUCCACCCUUGCAUCAAUAACAUGCAAUAACAAUUGACUAUAACCAGUAUUAUUUUAGUAGUAUUUAUAUAAUAUUAUAGUAUUUAUUGUUUUGGGUUUUUUUUUUUUUUUUGGAUAAAUUUUUUAUUGAUUUUGCAUAGAUAGGGUCACAUACAGUUUUCUUCACAAUAAAACAUAAACAGGGAGGUGACCCUCUAAACCCCUCCAACCCCCCUCCCCAGUAAUUAUUAUUGUUUUAAAUUAUCUUUUGUUUUUAUAUUUUCAGUUUGUUUUUGCUUUUUAAAUAUUUCUAUUUAGCUUGAAUUUAUUUUUAUUUCCGUUAUAGUAAUUUUAAUGCUUCAACUUAAACUUGUUUUAUUUUGUUUUUUUUCUAAUAUUUAUUAUAUUUAACUGUUACGUCCCCAGCUAGUCUAGGGUAAGGAACAGGUAACAGAAUAAAAAUGGUGAGAUGUGUGGAGGCAGCAAAGGUGCAAUUCCCAACCCCAGAGCUGUAACAAAGACCAAAAACAACUCAAUAUCAAAAACAACAAGUUCUUUUAUUUACUAAUGUGGGAGGGUUAAGGCUGCAAGAGGGGGCAAGGCCAAAAUAACAAACAUAAACCCUCUAACUAAACUACAAAAGAAAAGAAAACAAAGUACAAUAAUAAACUAACUCCCUAACUAGCUUAAACAAGAGAAAACAAGAUAUAAAGAAAAUGGCACCCACCUCUCUACUAACCCUUCCCCAAAUAUUUAAUAUAAACUUAAUAAAGAAAGAAACCAUAACAAAAGUAUGUACAAAAGAGAUGAUAACUUACAAAAACAAAAAGGUUUUCUGGUAGCACCAAGUACAACAAAAGUGUCAACACAAUAACAAAGAAAUUAAUCAACAAGGUAUAAGUCAAAAUAACAAAUAAGUCUUUCUGGGUUGGGAAAAGAAGCCUCACAACGCAGCCUCCACACACACACACACCCUGCUCUGUGCAAUGGUGCUGCUUAAAUCUCCACAGCUUUCUCCCCUCCUCCAAUCAAGUCAGAACACCAAUUAUUGGAGUCAGGUGGCAGCCAUCACUUCCUGCUUAUGGAAGUAGAGAGAGAG